GGGAAAGUCACCAGUACUGUUGCCAUCUACGAUGGUUGGUAAGGUAGGUGUACUAAAUGCAUUUUCAACGUAUUUGGGCUUAUUUGGAGGCAACCUAUUUUAAGUCCAGGAACAUCUGCAUUUCCUUUUAUUGUAUGACAAGCAUUCUGCAAAGGACCUUAAAUCCAUUAGCUAAAUCUUUUUUCUUCGUCUUUAGGAUUAAAAUUUGAAUUCAUUUACUUUCAACCUUGUCUUUCCAGGAAUCUGUAUCCCACAAGUUUUGUUAUGUAGUUCUUUCAUAGUUGCAAUUUUUAUGAAGAAUUUCUGUUUAAAAUUCUUGUUCUCAGCCCCUCCUUCUAGUGGCUCUUGGGACCAUGCACAUCCUCACCUGAAGCAGACCAAGAUCAAGACCCCCCAUGGUAAAAAAAUUGGUCAAAGAAAGAGUGAUAUAUGAAAAAGAAGCAAAACAACUGGAAGAGAAGAUUUUAAAAAAAUGAAAGCUGAAUGUGGCAAAAAUGAUGACCUUAAAAAGUAGGCAGAGAUCCUGCAAGAGUCCCGGAUGAUGACCCCAGAUUGCUAUCACAGGUUAGAUGCUGCAUAUUGUGAUCUUCAACAGAUAAUAGAAACUGAAAAAGACUUGGAAUCAGUGGAGGGUUCUAAAGAAGCACUUUGAACACUGAAUUCAGUGAGAUUAGAACCCUGAAACUUUUCUGAACAUGGUAGUUUUUGCAUUAAAUCCUGGGCUCUAUUCUGUAAUUCUUGAU
rnacentral:lncRNA from 1 species